UACAGAAUUUAAGAUAACAAACUGCAUCACAAGAAUUAUUAAACGUCUCAACAAUUCCUAUCCACAAGAUGCUGUUUUCUUCUGGAACUCAAGAAGUCUUUACUCUAAGUGGAAAUUCAGUCCAUCUUGUGACAUCCUCAUUUUAUUGAAACAAGGCUCACUCAUAAGGACAACUUUAGCUUGUCAAAAUUCAUAAAAAUGGUAAAAAUUCAUAAAAGGUAGUAGAAUUCUAAUUUUUCAAUUUUCAGGUAAAUUACUAAUAUCAAAUCUCCUGACAUCUCAGUUGAAUUAUGCAGUCUUUGUUUAAAUAAUAUGAAGCCAGAACUGGAUACAUUUGUCUGCUAUAGAGCUCCAGGCCUCACUGUCACACACGAUCUAAUUGUUCAAAAUAAUGACAUUAAAUGCAACUGCAUUCUAGUGACUUUAACGCUCAUCAUUUCAGUUGGAAUUGCAAAUAGCAAUGAUAGAAGAUUUCAUAAUGCCUUGAUAACCGCUGAUUUACUACACAAUGAUAACUUAUACAUAUAUUAAUGUAUAUAAAAAUUUUACAUCCAA